GUGCUCACUCUGGCAGCAGAUAUACUAAAAUUGGAACAUUACAGAAGAAAUUAGCAUAGUCCCUGCACAAGGAUGACACACAAAUUCAUGAAGCGUUCCAUGUUUUU
ensembl:snRNA U6 U6 spliceosomal RNA